rnacentral:rRNA from 1 species
CCUACGGGGGGCUGCAGUGGGGAAUAUUGGACAAUGGGGGGAACCCUGAUCCAGCCAUGCCGCGUGUGUGAAGAAGGCCCUCGGGUUGUAAAGCACUUUCAGUGAGGAAGAACGCCUGGUGGUUAAUACCCAUCAGGAAAGACAUCACUCACAGAAGAAGCACCGGCUAACUCCGUGCCAGCAGCCGCGGUAAUACGGGGGGUGCGAGCGUUAAUCGGAAUUACUGGGCGUAAAGCGCGCGUAGGUGGCUUGAUAAGCCGGUUGUGAAAGCCCCGGGCUCAACCUGGGAACGGCAUCCGGAACUGUCAAGCUAGAGUGCAGGAGAGGAAGGUAGAAUUCCCGGUGUAGCGGUGAAAUGCGUAGAGAUCGGGAGGAAUACCAGUGGCGAAGGCGGCCUUCUGGACUGACACUGACACUGAGGUGCGAAAGCGUGGGUAGCAAACAGGAUUAGAUACCCUUGUAGUC